CCUACGGGGGGCAGCAGUGAGGAAUAUUGGUCAAUGGGCGCGAGCCUGAACCAGCCAAGUCGCGUGAGGGAGGACGGCCCUACGGGUUGUAAACCUCUUUUGCCGGGGAGCAACGGGCGUCACGUGUGGCGCCACUGAGAGUACCCGGAGAAAAAGCAUCGGCUAACUCCGUGCCAGCAGCCGCGGUAAUACGUAUGGAGCAAGCGUUAUCCGGAUUUACUGGGUGUAAAGGGGGCGCAGACGGCAAUGCAAGCCAGGAGUGAAAGCCCGGGGCCCAACCCCGGGACUGCUCUUGGAACUGCAUG
rnacentral:rRNA from 1 species